rnacentral:rRNA from 1 species
AGAGUUUGAUCAUGGCUCAGGACGAACGCUGGCGGCGUGCUUAACACAUGCAAGUGGAGCGACGAACCGGGCUUCGGCCCGGGGCAGAGCCGCGAACGGGUGAGUAACACGUGGGUGACCUGCCCCGAUGACCGGGACAACCCGAGGAAACUCGGGCUAAUACCGGAUGUGUUCCCAGUCAUGACGGACUGGGAGGAAAGGUAGCUUCGGCUUCCGCAUCGGGAUGGGCCCGCGGCGCAUUAGCUUGUUGGUGAGGUAACGGCUCACCAAGGCGACGAUGCGUAGCUGGUCUGAGAGGACGAUCAGCCACACUGGGACUGAGACACGGCCCAGACUCCUACGGGAGGCAGCAGUCGAGAAUUUUUCUCAAUGGGGGAAACCCUGAAGGAGCGACGCCGCGUGGAGGAUGAAGGUCUUCGGGUUGUAAACUCCUGUCAUUUGGGAACAAGUGUCGGUACGUAACUGCUACCGGCUUGAUAGUACCAGAAGAGGAAGAGACGGCUAACUCUGUGCCAGCCGCGGCGGUAAUAC